rnacentral:rRNA from 1 species
GACGAACGCUGGCGGCGUGCUUAGCACAUGCAAGUCGAACGGAAAGGCCCUGCUUUUGUGGGGUGCUCGAGUGGCGAACGGGUGAGUAACACGUGAGUAACCUGCCCUUGACUUUGGGAUAACUUCAGGAAACUGGGGCUAAUACCGGAUAGGAGCUCCUGCUGCAUGGUGGGGGUUGGAAAGGUUCGGCGGUUGGGGAUGGACUCGCGGCUUAUCAGCUUGUUGGUGGGGUAGUGGCUUACCAAGGCUUUGACGGGUAGCCGGCCUGAGAGGGUGACCGGCCACAUUGGGACUGAGAUACGGCCCCGACUCCUACGGGAGGCAGCAGUGGGGAAUAUUGCACAAUGGGCGGAAGCCUGAUGCAGCAACGCCGCGUGCGGGAUGACGGCCUUCGGGUUGUAAACCGCUUUCGCCUGUGACGAAGCGUGAGUGACGGUAAUGGGUAAAGAAGCACCGGCUAACUACGUG